rnacentral:rRNA from 1 species
AUUGAACGCUGGCGGCAUGCCUUACACAUGCAAGUCGAACGGCAGCACAGGAGCUUGCACCUGGUGGCGAGUGGCAGACGGGUGCGUAUUAGAUCGAAACCUGAACUGACGUGGGGGAUAGCGCGGAGAUAGCCGGACUAAUGCCGCAUACGCUCUACGGAUGAAAGUGGAGGAACUUGGGGUCUGGACCUAGCGCGUUGGCAGAUGGCGGAUUAGCUAGUUGGAGGGGUAAAGGCCUACCAAGGCGACGACCAGUAGCUGGUCUGAGAGGAUGAGCAGCCACACUGGAACUGAGACACGGUCCAGACUCCUACGGGAGGCAGCAGUGGGGAAUUUUGGACAAUGGGCGAAAGCCUGAUCCAGCAAUGCCGCGUGUGUGAAGAAGGCCUUCGGGUUGUAAAGCACUUUUGUCGGGAAAGAAAAGCUGGACUUUAAUACAGCGGUGUUAUGACGGUACCGGAAGAAUAAGCACCGGCUAACUACGUG